rnacentral:rRNA from 1 species
GACGAACGCUGGCGGCGUGCCUAAUACAUGCAAGUAGAACGCGCAGUUUAUACCGUAGCUUGCUACACCAUAAACUGUGAGUUGCGAACGGGUGAGUAACGCGUAGGUAACCUGCCUGGUAGCGGGGGAUAACUAUUGGAAACGAUAGCUAAUACCGCAUAAUAUUGAUUAUUGCAUGAUAAUUGAUUGAAAGAUGCUAUUGCAUCACUACCAGAUGGACCUGCGUUGUAUUAGCUAGUAGGUGAGGUAACGGCUCACCUAGGCGACGAUACAUAGCCGACCUGAGAGGGUGAUCGGCCACACUGGGACUGAGACACGGCCCAGACUCCUACGGGAGGCAGCAGUAGGGAAUCUUCGGCAAUGGACGAAAGUCUGACCGAGCAACGCCGCGUGAGUGAAGAAGGUUUUCGGAUCGUAAAGCUCUGUUGUAAGAGAAGAACGGGUGUGAGAGUGGAAAGUUCACACUGUGACGGUAUCUUACCAGAAAGGGACGGCUAACUACGUG